UACAGAGGUCUCAAGCGUUGCUCGGAAUCAUUGGGCGUAAAGCGCACGUAGGCGGCUUCGCAAGUCGGAUGUGAAAUCCCCUCGGCUCAACCGAGGACGUGCAUCCGAAACUGCGGAGCUUGAGUACUGAAGAGGAUCGCGGAAUUCCCGGUGUAGAGGUGAAAUUCGUAGAUAUCGGGAGGAACACCAGUGGCGAAGGCGGCGAUCUGGGCAGAUACUGACGCUGAGGUGCGAAAGCGUGGGGAGCAAAC
rnacentral:rRNA from 1 species